rnacentral:lncRNA from 1 species
CUAAGAUAAUUAGAUAUAUUCUCCAAAAUUUGAUUCAAAAAUACCAAAAAAAAAUUAUCAAUUUUGUCAACAAUAUUCUUUGUCUGUCUUGAUUUUUGUGUAUGGAUCAAACAAACCCUUCUUUUUCAAUUUUUGCAUUGAAGCCCAUGCACAGAGGAAAUAAAUACAAGAAAAAAUUUAGUUUUCCCCUUUCCUCGAUU